GACGAACGCUGGCGGCGUGCUUAACACAUGCAAGUCGAACGGAAAGGCCCUGCUUGCCGGGUACUCGAGUGGCGAACGGGUGAGUAACACGUGGGUGGUCUGCCCUGCACUUCGGGAUAAGCCUGGGAAACUGGGUCUAAUACCGGAUAGGAGCCAUUUUUAGUGUGAUGGUUGGAAAGUUUUUUUCGGUGUAGGAUGAGCUCGCGGCCUAUCAGCUUGUUGGUGGGGUAAUGGCCUACCAAGGCGGCGACGGGUAGCCGGCCUGAGAGGGUGGACGGCCACAUUGGGACUGAGAUACGGCCCAGACUCCUACGGGAGGCAGCAGUGGGGAAUAUUGCACAAUGGGCGCAAGCCUGAUGCAGCGACGCCGCGUGGGGGAUGACGGCCUUCGGGUUGUAAACUCCUUUCGCUAGGGACGAAGCUUUUUGUGACGGUACCUAGAGAAGAAGCACCGGCUAACUACGUG
rnacentral:rRNA from 1 species